GACGAACGCUGGCGGCGUGCCUAAUACAUGCAAGUAGAACGCUGAAGGAGGAGCUUGCUUCUCUGGAUGAGUUGCGAACGGGUGAGUAACGCGUAGGUAACCUGCCUGGUAGCGGGGGAUAACUAUUGGAAACGAUAGCUAAUACCGCAUAAGAGUAGAUGUCGCAUGACAUUUGCUUAAAAGGUGCAAUUGCAUCACUACCAGAUGGACCUGCGUUGUAUUAGCUAGUUGGUGAGGUAACGGCUCGCCAAGGCAACGAUACAUAGCCGACCUGAGAGGGUGAUCGGCCACACUGGGACUGAGACACGGCCCAGACUCCUACGGGAGGCAGCAGUAGGGAAUCUUCGGCAAUGGACGGAAGUCUGACCGAGCAACGCCGCGUGAGUGAAGAAGGUUUUCGGAUCGUAAAGCUCGGUUGUAAGAGAAGAACGAGUGUGAGAGUGGAAAGUUCACACUGUGACGGUAUCUUACCAGAAAGGGACGGCUAACUACGUG
rnacentral:rRNA from 1 species